UCUCAACAGACGUGGUCUCCAAAGUCCAACUGUCAAGGACCCAGGUAAGAGACAGGAGGCUUGAGGUCUGCCACUGAAGCAGUGGGCUGGGUCAGUCCUUGACAUUUAAACAAGAGCAAGCUCUAGUGCAAAUCUGCAUUUCCUUUUGUUAAGCAACUUUUCGUUGUCCUCAGGUCCUUACCCAAGCAGCCCUUUGUCAUUGGAAAGACAGAACCUGGAAGCUGUUUCCUAGCUCAUCCCAAGGACCCAGGCUCAGCCAACAGUCACUCCUGAAUCAGCCCUGAGCCACAGGUCAUUUCCAAGGAGGCAUGAACUUGAGGCCAGAUACGGAGCUCGGAGAAAUCAGAUUUCAGUUAGCACCAACUGUUGCUUUAUGGCUGCACUUUUAUUUGCUUUAGCCCUUCAGGUUUUCCGGCACCUGCUGGCAAUCAGGUUUCCUCCUCUCUGCCCGGAACCAUACCUCAAAUUGCUGCCCAAAUUCCGGAGCAGGGAAAAACCCGUUUAGAUACACCUGGGAGAAGAAAUGGCGAACAUAUGGUGUGUGCGCGGCCUCUCAUCCUCCUGUGACCGUGGAAGACAUCAACAACCCAUACUGAUCUUGGCUUCGGAGUCUUUUCUACAUGCGGGGCACCUGGGCUGCUCAGUCGGUUAAGCGCCUGACUCUUAACUUUGGCUCAGGCCAUGAUCUCAUGGGUUCAUGAGAUUGAGCCCCACAUCGGGCUCUGAGCUGACAGCCUGCUUCUCCCUCUCCCUCUCCCUUCUGCCCCUCUCCCACUCACACAUGGGUACACACUCUCUCUCCAAAUAAACUUUUUUAAAAAAGAAUCUUUUCAAUGUACUGCUUUAAGCAGAAGCAAUUUCCACUGCUGUCUUAGAGAUUUACUGAAGAAGAAAACAGCAGACACUCGCCAUUCUAGGAAAUACCGUUAGUGUGAUACCCCACCUGAGGGGUUUCUCUUGGCCCCCCUGGGUCAGGCUGGGAGAGUCAGGGAGUUGAUUUCCCUAGGAGCAGCUCUCAGCUAGUAUGGUUGAGAGUCUGAGGAUCCUACCCUGGCUUUCUCAUCCUAGGUAUUUUUUUUUUAUAAAUCUUUUUUUAAGUUUACUUAUUUAUUUUUGAGAGAGAGAGAGAGAGAGAGAGAAAGCAGGGGAGGGGCAGAGAGAGAGGGAGUCAGAGAAUCAAUCCCAAGCAGGCUCUGUGCGGCCAACACAGAGCCCGAUUCGGGGCUUGAACCAUGAACUGUGAGACCAUGACCUGAGCCAAAACCAAGAGUUGGAGGCUUAACCAACUGAGCCACCCAGGUGCCCCUAGGUGAGUACUAUAGGUUGAUUGUGUCCCCCGCAGAUGUAUAUGUUGAGGUUCUACCCCUCAGGACCUCAGAAUGUAACCUUAUUUGGAAAUGGGGUCAUUGUAGAUCUAAUUAGUUACGGUGAGGUCAAUAGGGUGGGCCCCUAAUCCGAUAGGACUGGAAUUUUUCUUUUUUUUAAUGUUUAUAUAUUUUAUCUUGAGAGAGAGAGAGAGAGAGAGAGUCCCAAACUGAAACUGAGAAGCCCCACAUGGGGCUCAGACUCAUGAACAGUGAGAUCAUGACCUGAGCCUAAAUUGAAUCAGACGCUUUACCAACUGAGCCACCCAGAUGCCCAUGACUGGAAUUUUUCUGAAAAGGAGAAAUUUGGGUGCAGAGAUCCACACAGAGAGAGUGCCGUGUGAAGACUGGAGUCACACUGCCAUAUGCUGUGGAACUACCAGGAGCUGGGAGACAGGCUUGGACAGCUUCUUCCCAAGCAUCUCCAGGGGCAGUGUGGCCCUGCCGACACCUCGGGGUCAGACUUCCAGGCUCCAGGACUGGGAGGCCCAAUACACUUAUGGCAGCCCAGGCUGUCUCAACAGGGGCCAUAUCCGAGGUGGCUCCCUGGCUGUCGCCCAUAGUUCCACUAAAGAACGGGGCCUCAGUGGCCCAUAGUAACCUGUUGGAUACAACACCCUUUAUGGGGUCCUUCCCUUCCCUGUCUCACCAUCUGUCCCAUCCCCUGCCAGUGCCACCUGGGAGCUCUCCCCAAAUAAACUACUUUCCUUGAAUCUUUUUCUUAGGGUCUACCUCUGAGGAAAGCAACUCAAAAUGGUGUAAGAUGGACCUGUCCUUCCCUCCCCUUGGGCUUACCUGUGUGGGGCCUCCUGGCUCCCCACAGCACCACCCUUCUUCCCGCUUCUGACCACGGCUCUCCCAAAGACCUAGCCCCACCUGUGAUAGGGUCUCUCUUCCUCCUCUUUCAGGCCCACCUGGGCCUUCUCACCUGGGAAGCCCCCUCACUUUCCCAUCACCUCUGCCUGGGAGUGACAACCUGUGUCAUCCUACCCCAAGGAGGGCAAGCCCUCAUCCGGCCACCUCCACCUCUUCCUGGAAGCAUGUCUUUCUGACUUUUCUUCUUGCCUUAACCCCAGCCCCGGGGGAGCCCCUCUGUCAGGAGAGAGGGGCCAGAUUUUUCUCAGUGAGCUCUUGAGAGCCAAACUUGCUUGAGCUGAUAAUAAAAAUAAUAAACUAUCAACAAAAUAACACAACUAGCUACCAUUUAUUGAGUGCUUACUGUGCAGCUGGAAUUAGGCUAAGACUUUUAUGUAUCUGUCUCGCCAAAUCUCCAUGGCAACCCUGUGAGUUGGAAACUACUGUCUCUUCUUCUCAGCGGAGGAAGCUGAGGCCUGAAGGGGGUGGGUGACGUGCCCAUGGUCUCCCAGCUGUGGUAGCAGAGGGGAGAUCCACACCAUCAGCUGCAGGCAGCAGAUGGUGACAACACCGGCGUCUGGCAGGCCUCAGGCAGGCUCACACUCACCAAAUCCCAACAAGGAAGGGAACUGGGUCCAACAGGGGUUCUGUGUGCCUGGGACUAAGGCUUGACUCAAGAAAAGGAGGGAUUUUAACUGGAACCCAAAGGAUAAUUCUACACCAGGAGAGGGUCCUAACCUCAGGCCACUGAGGGCUCACAUUUUCCUUCAUGUGAGUAACUGAGUCUUUGGCGCAGGGAGGGCAUGCACGAGCCUUUGUGCAGCCACUCUGACCUCCGUCCAUGGCUGAUCUAAUGAAGCAAGCACAGCAUUUUUCUGGCUAGGAACAGAGGGGGCUCAGACUGACUCCCACCAGUCUCCUGGGGCUGGCACAUGAGAUUUGUCAUCCUUGGAGUGGGGACUUCUCAGUGGGGGGCAAGGGCCAGCCUGACUUGGAGCUGGGUCCUCUCCACAGCAUGGGCCUUCUGGAGCCAGAGGAGACAUACUGGAUGUGACAGAAGCCUCUCUCUUCUCUCAGACAAGCCUGAGACAGCACAUGGUCGUGAGCUGAGCAGGUCUGAGGCUUCUGAGUCUGCUUGGUCAGGAGUUAUUUGGGGAUCUCUAUGACACCUUUUUGUUUUUAAAAGCCAACUCAGUCAUUCAUCCUACAUUUCCUGAGGCUCUCUUCUGUACCAUCACAAUGCUGGGGGGGGGGCCUGGGACAGAGCAGAGAACCAAUCAAGUUCUCGCCUUCUGGAAAUGCACAGCACAGCUGGGAGGGACAAGUAUGUGGAUGGUUACAGUGCAGUGGGCUAGGUGCUCUGGUAGGUGUUUCUCCAGGGGACUUCCUGGCUAGGAGGCUAUCAGAGAAUGCUUCCUGGAGGAAGUGGCAUCUAGGCAGAUAGAGUUCCCCUGGAAAGUGUUCCAGGCAGAGGGAGCAGCAUGUGCAGAGGCUCAGAGGAGAGGUGGAACCUGAUACUCUGAUGGUAGAGACCAAAGUGAAGGGGGAAGGGGACUAUUCAUUAGAGCCUUAAGGAUGAGGCUAAUGUAAUGACCUUGGGCUUUGUUCUCAGGGUCAUGAGGGGGCCAUGGGAAGAAUUAAACGGGGCCAGUGAUAAAUCCUCAGCUCAGUGUGGAGAAGGUAGCACCUCCUCCAAGAAGCCUUCCCUGACCCCUGGCUCCUGGCCUUUCAGUAGAGAAUCCGCCAUAAGGCACCUUGUCAUGCUUCAUGGUCAGCCUGAUUUGGAGGCCAUCUUCCUCUCUAGGCUGUGACUCCUGAGGGCCUUCCUCAUCAGGUCCCCGGUGCUACAACCAAGGCAUAGCAGUUGUGCAGUAAGUGUCAUUAGAAGGAAGUGAGUGGCUUUCUGUUUGGGAAAGAAACUAGCGGAGAAACCAUCCCAAACACACCAGAACUUGCUCCCUCCACCCAGCUGUCUUCGUCCUUUACCCCACACUCAACAGUGCUCUCCAAAGCGAACUCUGUCCAGAGGAUGGGCUCAGACUUUGGAAUCUGCGUAGCCUCUUCUGGCUAAAUGCAAGCUCAGGCUAUUUUCCUCGUCAUCCUUGGAAAUUCUGUGGAGUUUGUCUCCAAAGGCAGGGGGCGCUAAUUACUCUUCCAGGGCUUCUUUCUGUUCGCCCAUGGGGGCAGGAUUCCUCACAAGGGACAAAUUCCGCAUGCUUGGGUGUGGGUGGUGGACGCUGCAGGGGGACAGGGGCCACAGGGCCUGAGGGAGACUCAGCAUGUAGACAAGAAGACUGAAGUCGAAGGACAUGAUGGAGUGGAAAAGAAGCAGAGACACGAAGAUACUGAAAGUGACAGACAUAUUGACAGACACACAUGCACUAGCAUGUGGUCAUUUGUGUGUGUGCACCGCCCC